UACGUAGGGUGCGAGCGUUGUCCGGAAUUAUUGGGCGUAAAGAGCUUGUAGGCGGUUUGUCGCGUCUGCUGUGAAAAUCCGGGGCUCAACCCCGGACUUGCAGUGGGUACGGGCAGGCUAGAGUGUGGUAGGGGAGACUGGAAUUCCUGGUGUAGCGGUGAAAUGCGCAGAUAUCAGGAGGAACACCGAUGGCGAAGGCAGGUCUCUGGGCCACUACUGACGCUGAGAAGCGAAAGCGUGGGGAGCGAACAGG
rnacentral:rRNA from 1 species